rnacentral:tRNA from 1 species
GGGCUCUUAGCUCAUCCGGUAGAGCGCUUCCAUGGCAUGGAAGAGGCGAGCGGUUCAAGUCCGCUAGAGUCCA